GGAAAGUCAGUAUUGGGUGGGAGAAAUGUGCCAGCAUCCAAGAAAUUCAAGCAGAUUCUAAAAGUUGGGAAAGAUCUAUUUUCACAUGCAGUGUUGAAUAAUCAAUUAUCACACCAUACCCUGCCCACAGAGAUGAUAAAGAAGUGACCCAGGAGGAUACUAUGUUACAGAUCCACCACAUGUUCAGACAGCCCUGAGGUGAUCUUUUAAGGGCCACUAGCAGGGAGAGACACAGAGGUAACACAGGAAAGGUCAUAUAAAGCCAAAGGCAGAUUAGAGUGAUGCACCUACAAGCCAAGACGUGUCAUGGAUUGGAGUUAGCCAUCAGAAUCUAGGAGAGAGGCAUGGAAUGGAUUCUUCCUCAGGGCUUUCAAAAGGAACCAUCAAGAUGACAUCUUGAUUUUAGACUUUUAUCAUCCUGGAUUGAGAGAGAAUAAUUUCUAUUAUUUGAGGUCACCAAAUGUGUGGUAAUUUUUUAUGGCAGACCUAGGAAACUACAACAAAACUGAAAAAUUGCAGGAGAGGGAAUAUAGAUUAGUAUAUUGAGUGAGAAACUCCUGGGGACUACGGCCUUUGGGUGGUCCUUACAUUUUUGUGUUUUACCUCCAGGAACUCUAUUAGGUUACUAUGGUGAAGAACCAAGUAAAACAUUCAUAUUUAUGGUAGGGCAAAUGAAAAGUUACCAUUUUGAAACAGAACCAUAACAUUAUCUAUAAAAAUGGCCUUCCCAGCAAAGGAAAAUACUUCAUUAAAGUCUUAUAUGCUAUGGAGGGAGGGGAAUUAUCUCUAGAACCCCCUAGCAUUUUGAUUUUUGCAUGUGUGUGUUUAGGGCUGCACCUGCAGCAUAUGGAGGAUUUCAGAGUGGGGCUUGAAUC